AAUCACAGAGAAGAGGAAAGGUUGCAGGACCAUAAUGCAGGGAGUCACCAAAAGGAUUUUGCAACCGUAAAGACACUGAGUAACACUGGGACGAGAAAGGAUCUCAACAGGACCACACUGCAACCAUGGCCACAGGUGCUAACACUGGAUGAACACCUGUCCAAUCUACGCAAGAAGGAAAGGAAAUCAACGGAUAGCAUGUUUACUGAUGUUGUGUACACAACUCAACAGGGUGAUAAACAGAUGGAGAAAUGGAAAGAAAGUUAAAUUUAAGAUGAUAAAGAGGAGAGAGGAGACAAGAAAAUUGUCAUGACCCUUCAGGAACAGCUUCUGCAAGAGAUGGCAAGUUUUUUUUUUGAGGGAAAAAACUCAUUCCCUUUGUGCCUUGCAACCCUUCUCCAACAAUGUCUUUAUUGACGUAGCAACUUCUUACAGCACUUCGCAGGUGCAAGUUUGUCCUUUCACAUUCCACACUGCAAAGCAAUAAGUAAAAUGGGCCUAGUGUGAGACCCCAUAAACUCAUCCACCUACCCAAAGGAGUAAGGUCUUUCUGCAGUUUCACAGAAUAUUUUUUCCCUUGUUCUUCUGCUCCAACUUACUUAUAUCUUCUGCAAUG